rnacentral:rRNA from 1 species
GAUGAACGCUGGCGGCGUGCCUAAUACAUGCAAGUCGAGCGAACAGAUGAGGAGCUUGCUCCUCUGACGUUAGCGGCGGACGGGUGAGUAACACGUGGAUAACCUACCUAUAAGACUGGGAUAACUUCGGGAAACCGGAGCUAAUACCGGAUAAUAUAUUGAACCGCAUGGUUCAAUAGUGAAAGACGGUUUUGCUGUCACUUAUAGAUGGAUCCGCGCCGCAUUAGCUAGUUGGUAAGGUAACGGCUUACCAAGGCAACGAUGCUUAGCCGACCUGAGAGGGUGAUCGGCCACACUGGAACUGAGACACGGUCCAGACUCCUACGGGAGGCAGCAGUAGGGAAACUUCCGCAAUGGGCGGAAGGCUGACGGAGCAACGCCGCGUGAGUGAUGGAGGGCUUCGGAUCGUAAAACUCUGUUAUUAGGGAAGAACAAAUGUGUAAGUAACUAUGCACGUCUUGACGGUACCUAAUCAGAAAGCCACGGCUAACUACGUGC